rnacentral:rRNA from 1 species
AGUGAACGCUGGCGGUAGGCCUAACACAUGCAAGUCGAACGGCAGCACAGUAAGAGCUUGCUCUUACGGGUGGCGAGUGGCGGACGGGUGAGGAAUACAUCGGAAUCUACUUUUUCGUGGGGGAUAACGUAGGGAAACUUACGCUAAUACCGCAUACGACCUACGGGUGAAAGCAGGGGAUCUUCGGACCUUGCGCGAUUGAAUGAGCCGAUGUCGGAUUAGCUAGUUGGCGGGGUAAAGGCCCACCAAGGCGACGAUCCGUAGCUGGUCUGAGAGGAUGAUCAGCCACGCUGGAACUGAGACACGGUCCAGACUCCUACGUGAGGCAGCAGUGAGGAAUAUUGGACAAUGGGCGCAAGCCUGAUCCAGCCAUACCGCGUGGGUGAAGAAGGCCUUCGGGUUGUAAAGCCCUUUUGUUGGGAAAGAAAAGCAGCAGGUUAAUACCCCGCUGUUCUGACGGUACCCAAAGAAUAAGCACCGGCUAACUUCGUG